GAGGGUACAGCUCAGUGGUAGAGCUCAUGCUUAGCAUGCAUGAGACCCUGGGUUCAAUCCCCAGUACCUCA
rnacentral:tRNA from 1 species